CUUUUCGCUGAUGCGGGCUGCUUGGGAGCCUCCGCCGCCGGAGAGACUAGACGCUUUCCUUUCUUUUUAUUAUUAUUUUUUUCUCUCCACCCCCUCUUUUCUUCCUUUCUUUUUUUUUUUUUUCCUCCUCUCAUGUGUUCACUUCCGGGUCCGGUGCCGCUCCGGAUGCUCGAGGCCGAAGGAUGUUUGACCUCCGGAUAAGCGAGGCGCCGCCGUGCAUUCAUUCCCGGUUGCCUCGGUGGCCACAGCCGCGGCCCGGACGGCGACUCGGUGCUCAGCGGCGGCAGUAGGAGGCGCCGGCGGCGGCGGUGGUGGCGGCGGCGGCGCGCGGAGCCAGUAGACGCGGGGGCCCCCGUCCUUCCCUCGCUCGCGCCUUCCUUCCCCGGCCUCGUUCAUCUUCCGCGGCCGCCGGCGGCGGGGAUGUGCCGGCGCUGACGGGCGGACGCGCGCGCCGGGCCGAACCCGCUGCCCGCGGCCGCGCCUUUGAGCUCUCUAUCAACAGCAGCUUACAUCACUGAGAAGAUAAUUUUGAAGACAUACUUUGCUGAGAAGACAACUGAGAAGCUGUACGAAUGGGAUGAACAGGCGUCACUUGACUGACUAUCCGCUGACGUUUGAGUGCUAGCGUUGCUCAUAGGGUACUGCUACCUAGUGAUGCACCUGCUCUUACAGUACCCCAUUUCAUCGUGCUUGUCUUGAUUAAAGAAUUCAAAGUGGAGUACCGCAAACUUGAUAUGGAUAAUAAAAAGAAAGACAAGGACAAAUCAGAUGAUAGAAUGGCACGGCCCAGUGGUCGGUCAGGGCACAGCACUCGAGGAACUGGGUCUUCUUCAUCUGGAGUUUUAAUGGUUGGACCUAACUUUAGAGUUGGGAAAAAAAUCGGAUGUGGCAAUUUUGGAGAAUUACGAUUAGGUAAGAUUGUUUUGUUUAUUCCAUUGUGUGAAGAACAGUUUAAAAAUGAAUACACUUGUAAAAGGGUAUUCUUGCUUUAGUUAUAAGUUCUUUAAGUAUGUAGUUAGGGGCUUUAGUUGAUCACUAUUUCCCAAAAUGCAGGUAUUGAAUACAGGAAUUGAAACUUUCUUAUUUGUGCUUUCAUUUGGAAGGAACUCCCAAGUGUCCGAAUGUCUGUCUGUUUGAGAGUAACCAUUUUCAACUAGGAUUGUUUCUUUAACUGGCAUCUCAGAGCAUCUACUCAUGCUAUGGUUUGGGAAGUGCUGGGCUUACUGCAGCUCUUACUGUCUGCUUCAGGAACCUAAAGGAAGACUUGCCAGAUGCCACAGAGCAGCUCAGUGACAUAUUUAGAUGUGAGAUGUCAAUCUUAUUCCCAGUGCAGUAGAACAGCUGUCUCCAUUGAAAAGAAACAAGGAACGUGGCAUGCUAACACAGGAAUCAGUACUUAGGUAAUUAAAUACAUUAAGGGCUCUCCUCAUUGGACCACCAAGACUGAACUUGAGGUUAAAAAAAAAUGGCUUUACAGUUUUCAUUGAGUCUCACUUGCUGUUGAAAAUAAAACAAUUCAUAUGUUUCUACUGAGCUAUCUUAUCUUAUUAUCUUGUAAAACACAUUAAUUUGUAGUGUCUCUUCUAUUUCAUUUGCUUUGUGUUGCUAAUGUACAUUAAAUAUGAAUGAAUGAAGAAGCAAACUAAUAAAAGCUAGUGACAUUCUUUGUACAUAGCUAUAAAUAUGAUGUAGUUGGCAGAUUCUUUUGCAUUUAGUAAAGACUAAAAUAUUUGAAAGGGCACAUAUUUUAUGGGUUAUUUUUGAAAGAUUGUGAAUUAAUUUGAAUUUUCUAAGUUGUUUUUUACUUGGGAGUUAGAGAAAUUAGAUUAUUUACUUUUUGUUAAACUUUGAGAUCAUCCAUCCAUUUCUUAACAUUGGCCAUAUACUGAAACAUGUUUAUGGAUUAUUUUUCUAGGCUAUUGUAAAUAACAAAUUUAUGAGUGUAAUAGAAAAGAUUAACAAUAUAUGUAUAGGUCUUGGUUAUUUUUAUUAUAGUUCUCUACAUAAUUUAGAAAUAACUAUUUUUAUAAUAUACAGUCUGUGUGUGUGUGUGUUCACACAGAACAAUUCUAGUGGGCCAACUUUACCAGAACAAUAUACUAAAAUUACA
rnacentral:lncRNA from 1 species